GGACACAGCUCAGUGGUACAGCAUGUACUUUGUGUGCUGAUGGUCCUGGGUUCAAUCCCCAUCAUCUCCA